rnacentral:rRNA from 1 species
ACCAGACUCCUACGGGAGGCAGCAGUGGGGGAUAUUGCACAAUGGGGGGAACCCUGAUGCAGCGACGCCGCGUGGGUGAAGAAGCGCCUCGGCGCGUAAAGCCCUGUCAGCAGGGAAGAAAAUGACGGUACCUGAAGAAGAAGCCCCGGCUAACUACGUGCCAGCAGCCGCGGUAAUACGUAGGGGGCAAGCGUUAUCCGGAUUUACUGGGUGUAAAGGGGGCGCAGACGGCGAUGCAAGCCAGGAGUGAAAGCCCGGGGCCCAACCCCGGGACUGCUCUUGGAACUGCGUGGCUGGAGUGCAGGAGGGGCAAGCGGAAUUCCUGGUGUAGCGGUGAAAUGCGUAGAUAUCAGGAGGAACACCGGUGGCGAAGGCGGCCUGCUGGACUGCAACUGACGUUGAGGCCCGAAAGCGUGGGGAGCAAACAGGAUUAGAUACCCGAGUA